UGGGGAAUAUUGCACAAUGGGCGAAAGCCUGAUGCAGCAACGCCGCGUGAGUGAUGAAGGCCUUCGGGUUGUAAAGCUCUGUCUUCUGGGACGAUAAUGACGGUACCAGAGGAGGAAGCCACGGCUAACUACGUGCCAGCAGCCGCGGUAAUACGUAGGUGGCAAGCGUUGUCCGGAUUUACUGGGCGUAAAGGAUGCGUAGGCGGAUACUUAAGUCAGAUGUGAAAAUCCCGGGCUUAACUUGGGAACUGCAUUUGAAACUGGGUAUCUAGAGUGCGGGAGAGNAAAGUGGAAUUCCUAGUGUAGCGGUGAAAUGCGUAGAGAUUAGGAAGAACACCAGUGGCGAAGGCGACUUUCUGGACCGUAACUGACGCUGAGGCAUGAAAGCAUGGGGAGCAAACA
rnacentral:rRNA from 1 species